rnacentral:lncRNA from 1 species
CGCUAAAGUUCUAGGAAUGUUCCUAUGGCAUGUUGAUGGCAGUGUGAAGUGAUAGCACUUCUAUGGAAAGUGUAUUGGCAGACUCAAUGCAUGAAUUUAGAGAUCCUAUAAUCCAAUUAUAUAUGGAAUUCUGUGAUAUGACCAUGGAGGUUUGGGUCAUGUACGAUUUAUCAACUUCUGUUGAGAAAUGGGAAGCCAUAUGUGUCACUACCCAGGGGCAUGAAAUGAAGAACAAAGUAGGACGAACAAAAUGUGUUCAUACACCCUUGGAGUAAAAUUUAUUUUUGUAUUAAAUGCAUCUCUUCAUCAUUAUCUGACCAAAAUAGGAUAGAAAGAUAAUCUUGGAGGGAGGAACUCUGUAAAUAAAUAGAGAUUUAACUAGGUAUGUUAAGGGUGAUACAAAAGCUCUAUUAGUGUUAUUCCCCCUGAAGAAGCAUAUGGAUGCAUCCCAAAUGCCACCCAUGGUCAAAAAGUGCACUAUUCUUGGUCAAAAGUACAGCACUGUAUAGGGCGGUGAUGUGUGACAGAAAAAUUACACAUUUACCUGAUUUGUUUGAUAUCAAUAGUUAGCAAUUAAUACUCAACAAAUAAGAGGAUAUUUCUGUCCUGUUAGUGUCUGUGCUUUUAUAGUUCCCUGCAGCUAAUCUGGCCGUAUGGUCACUAGAGAUGGCUUGAGUUGACAAAUGAGUUAUACAAGAUGUGGUGGGUGUAACCGAGAUAGAGAUAGCCAGGAGGAGUUUAGAACAAUUCCUCAUUGUCUCUAAAUCAUCCUUGCAUCUGGGAAACUAAGCCAGGGUGGGGUUAAGACAACAACCCAUGUGCAAAUAAUGACAGGAUGAACAUAGAGUAGCUUAUGAUGCUCCUUAGUCUGCAUGAAGGGGAUUGAACCAACUAUGACUGAGCAUUGUUAGUGUCAGCUAUAUAUAGUACUCUGCAUUUGUGUAAAGGUUAGGUUACUCGGUCCAACACUCAAGGGUGGGGGGUCGACCAGCCUUAUUUUUGCAAUAAUGAAUCGAUGUUAAAUAAAGAUGAUUGUUUUAAGAAAUGACCAAAUCUCUCUCAGUACUGAAUUUCCACGACAGGUGUCAAACCGGAGGGCCUAGUGUCUGCUGGUUUUUGGUUUCUCCUUUAAAUUAUGACCUAGACAACCAGGUGAGGGGAGUUCCUUACUAAUCAGUGACCUUAAUUCCUCAAUCAAGUACAAGGGAGGGGCGAAAACCCGCAGACACUCGGCCCUCCGUGGAAUGAGUUUGACACGUGGUAUAGGGAAUAGGGUGCCAUUUGGGACAUGUCGGUGUCCUAAAUCCGGUAUUCUGCCCUUUCCAUUUGGAUAAUAGAGUACCUUCAGUCCUUUUCCCAUUCUAAAGUAGUAACUCCCAUUCUGAGCAGCUGGCUCGCCUCGCCAUUCAAAGCCUCCACAUCCAAAAUUAACUAGAGUAGAGGAUUGCUCAGAGGCAAACCCAAGUCCUUAACUUGCAUUUGACACCCCUGCCUUACACUAUUAAAAUAGUACAAGCAUUAAUCCCUU